rnacentral:rRNA from 1 species
UACGUAGGGUGCAAGCGUUAAUCGGAAUUACUGGGCGUAAAGCGUGCACAGGCGAUCUUGUAAGACAGAGGUGAAAUCCCCGGGCUCAACCUGGGAACUGCCUUUGUGACUGCAAGGCUUGAGUACAACAGAAGAGGAUGGAAUUCCGCGUGUAGCAGUGAAAUGCGUAGAUAUGCGAAGGAACACCGAUGACAAAAACAAUCCCCUAGACCUGCACUAACGCUCAUGCACGAAAGCGUGGGGAGCAAACAGG